rnacentral:rRNA from 1 species
CCAGCAGCUGCGGUAAUUCCAGCUCCAAUAGCGUAUAUUAAUGUUGUUGCAGUUAAAAAGUUCGUAGUUGAAUUUCUGGAGUUGAUUUAUGGUCCGAGUGUCUUAUUCAUUUAAGCCUUGCGUACCGUUUUUACUCAAUCUCCAUCUUAGUAGUGAGUGUAACUGGCAUUAGGUUGUCGGAUGCAGGAGCUGCUUCGUUUACUGUGAAUAAAAUAGAGUGUUUAAGGCAGGCAUUACGCCUUGAAUACUUCAGCAUGGAAUAAAAUUAUAGGACUUAGGUGCUAUUUUAUUGGUUUGCACACCUAGUAAUGAUUAAUAGGGACAGUUGGGGGUAUUCAUAUUUGAUUGUCAGAGGUGGAAUUCUUGGAUUUAUGAAAGAUGAACUUAUGCGAAAGCAUUUACCAAGGAUGGUUUCA